CUUAAAAUUUUACGGUCCAUUCGAUGUUUAUCUAACGGUAAAGAUUGUAACUUCCCUUCGCUCUGCUCUUUCUUCUGCCGCGUACUCCUCUCCUUGUCUGCGUUCGCUUCUUCCUCCCAGCUGCCUGCGCCAUCCCCUUCCUGCUCCCUCACUCCUCCACCACUCCUCUCCCUCUCUUCUCCUCGCGCGGAGCUGCAACGGCGAGGCCGAACAGUGGCCCCGGCGGGUCAGGCGUCGGCUGCUUGCCUCAGCUUGGCUCCGGCGGAGCGCGCGACCGUCGUCCUCUCCCUCCCACCCAUGGCGGCGCGCAGCCAUCCUCCCUCCCUCCCCGGCGCGCUGCCUGCCUGCGUGAGCUCGGCUCCAUCCAUCCUCACCGCGCGCUCCCCGGCCAUGGCAGCGAGGCCGGCCCUCCCCUCCCCUCCCCGCGCCAUCCCUCUCCCUGUUGGCCGUCCACGAGCCGUCCACGACAGAACGGCGCACGGCGAGGCUGGCGCCCAAACGCGGCAGUGGCCCGUGCGGGGCCAUGGCGGCGGGAGACCUGUGCGGGGCCAUGGCGGCGGCCGCCGUGCUCCGCACCGGAACCCUGCAGCGAGCCAACGCCGAGCUCCGCCUCCACGCGCAGUCAACGAGACCAACAGCAGCGAAUACCUCCGCUUUGGGAGUUCGGCAGCCGGAUCCGCCCUAAACCUCGGCGGAUCUACGCCUUCCUUGGCCGGAUCUGCUUCAGCGCACUACCCUUUCCUGCAACUGCCGCCGUCACGCACGCCGGCUAAUGGCUGUGGCCGCGGUCGCUGUCAAGCGCGUCGGCUGCGUCCUCCGGCCACCGCCCUCACCCGCACCGGUUGCGGCCUCCGGCGGCCACCGUGUCCCGCGGCCGGAGCCUCCCAACAGCGGCCCCGCGGCUGCUGCCUCACAAGAUCCGCUCCAUCCCUCGCGUUUCCGCCCGCUAUCGCGCGCGCUGGUCUAAUUCCUGGCUUCCUCCUCAGUGCCUUGUUCGACGUUGUGGUCUUCUUCCUCAGCGGCCUGUCUGCUGUCCGCCAUUGCUGUCCGCCCAGAACUCCUGAAUCUCAGGUGCGCCCCUCCGUUUUUUACUGGUCAUCGCUUCCUGGUCGCCCCCUUUCAUUUUGUUCCAAGAAGCAGCCUAGAGACAGUAAACGAGGAGUCCACUUUACUGCAGCAGACGAGAACAAAGGUUGAAACUAAUGGUCAGGUUGUACCUGGGCCUGAAUAUGAAAGUCCUAACCUGAAUGGCUCCAUUGGAACCUCCUCUCCUCAGGAGCACCUGACAGGUCAUUGUAAUCUCACCUCUUUGAUUUACCAAAAAAAAAUGUUGUCAUGCACAAAGAUCUGAAUGCAGUAAAAAGGUUAACUAAUAUUCAGUAGUACUGGUAUUCUGCUUCUACCACCAGCACAGCAUUGCUCAAACGAACUACCUUUCCUGCAUUUUAGGUACCACUAAUACGACAUAGACUGUGCCUUCAGCUAACUACGCUGACCAUUUGCUCCUCUCAGUAUUAGGUUCCUAAGCCAGAAUUCAAUUUAUGCUUCACUUACUCACUAUACUUAAGAAAUAGAAUGCUAUUACAAUCACCGAUGUUGUAUCUUCUUCUAACUAGACCACCUUUUUCUUGUGCACCAUAAAGGCCACCAAAGCAGAUUUGGGAGGUAGUACUCCCAUGCUGUUCAAGACAUUUACAGGUACUAUGAGCUACUUUCUUCAAACUUUAUUAAUCAUAUGAGUUCUUGGGCCAGAUGUAGUUGAUCCAGGCAUGCAGUUGUUAUUCAUUUUAUACUUGAAAAAUAAAAUGAACUAUCAAAGGUUAUAAGACACAGAUAUUCUUUCCCAUAUAUGCGCAUGAUUAUUAUUCAGUUUAGGAAAUGCUCUGGGUAAUACGACACAUAUAUUCUUUCCCAUAUAUGUGCAUGAUUACUAUUAAGUUUAGGAAGCGCUCUGUUGGUCCAGAAUUUCUGUUGAUAUGAACAAAUAUUCCUUUUCAUAUAUGUGAAUGACUAUUGCCUAUUGCACAAACACAAGUAUUGGUUGUAUUAAUGGUUCCCAGCAUGUUUAAACAUUUAUAGUGCUAAGACACUGCAUUAGGCCUCCAAGUAUAUUUGCUGCUCAUGCUUGCUUCACCCUUCAUUUAGUGAAACAUUGUCAGGCCCAAUUUGUUGUAGUACAGAAAAUGUAUCUGUAGAUGCACAACUAAAACUAUAUUUUGAGGGACUGAUCAUGCGGUUUUUUACUCUGCUGAAAUAUUAGAAUGAGAUGUCCAGAAACAAAAAAAAAAGCCCAUUGAGAUAGCUAAAAUAGCAUAAGCAAUUUUACUUCUCUUUACCAAGCUUUUCUUGCUAUGGUCAUGUAGUGAAUUGAUGUAAACACGUGCAUAUUACGUUUAUCCUCAGGGAAAUAUUUGAUAUAAACAAAAAAAUUAUUUCCUUCAAGGACUGGUUCCUUUUCAGUGAUCAACACAAAAAUUGCAGGUAAGGAAUUGCUGGAUUCGAGCGCCAAGAGAUGCAUGGAGCAGUAUGCUGAAAUCUUUUCGCAAGUUGUCGCUGCUCAAAAAAUCAAAGCAAGGAAAAAAAAGACUGCCAUUCUACUGUAUUUGAAAGACUUGAUGGCAAGGAAGGGGGCGUCUCUUGCAUCACGGAGUCUCUGGUUCACAUUCUGUUCUUUCCCCAGCUCCUCCACAUGAUUCAGAUGUUCGCAUAAUGUGAUGCUUCUGCCCUCCCUCCAUUGCAAGGGAAAAAAUAUGCCGCUGCUUUGGCCCCGUUCCUCAUAAGUCAAAAAGGUCAAGCGCUACACAAGGGUGCAUAAAUAAGCACUGAUUAUCUCUAACAAGCAGGACAUCUCCACUCCUUCUGUGAAUUAUGAAGCCCCUUGCAGAAGUCUUUUGUUCCGUUGUAAUAACUAUAUCCAUAUUUUAGAUUUUUAUCCUAGACUAUGAAGUUGAUAGCUACUAUCUCAAUAAGUCUAAAACUCCUUGUAAAUAACUCUUAUAUUUCGUUGUGACAUAACCAGAAAAUUCUUAUUUGUCCUCUAUGGCAAUAUGAGUCUACUAAAUGUACAAAUUUUAUUAUUCAGAUCGAUAAAGUUGACAUGAGCGUGCGCAAAUUUA